CAGGUAGGGGCAUAAAAAGACUUUACCAAAAGCUCUCCGUACAUUAUAUAGUCGUUACUUUCUAAACGGUAACCUUACGCGAGUCUCCAAAAUGCGCCGCCCUAUGGCGCCGUCCGACGGAGACCCAUUGCGCGUAUAGAUAAGCAAAUUAACCCUCCAUCUACGGCGAAUCCAUCUGUCGAAGGAAUUUCUGGAAAAACUGAUUAUGCGACUACAAUCAUAACGGCAACACCCAAACAAAUAACCAAUAUCCGCCAUGCCAGAGAAUCAGUUAUUGUGAGACAUACAACACAUAACGGAAAGCCGGCUAUGACUUUCAAAGCUUCAGACUAUUAUGGAAUUAUGGCUGACAAAUGUAGACUGACCAUCAUUGGCAAAUUUCUUAAGCCAAGGCCCCAAAUUGAUAAAAUUAGGUCUACUUUAAGAGAACUUUUUCCAGUGAAGGGAUCAGCUAAAAUCGGCGUCUAUGACAACUAUAAUGUGUUUUUGGAUUUUACUAAUGAAGACGAUUUCAAUUCUGUUUGGUUCAAGCGGGUUGUUGAAGUGGAUGGAAUGCAGAUGUGGCUUCAAAAAUAGACUCCUGAUUUCAAGCCGGAUGAAGAUAUCCCCAUUGUUCUGGUAUGGGUUCUGCUCCCAGGUCUUCCUUUUAAUAUGCAUACAUGGAAUUAUGUAAAUCAAAUAUGUAGUGAAAUUGGCACACCGUUAGCUAUGGAUGCUGCCACUUAUGGUCGAGCUAGACCAAGUAUGGCUAAAGUUAGAGUUGAAAUCGGUCUCCUUAAAUCUCAAAUAGAAAGUGUUUAUGUGGGAUCACAAGAUGAGGAUUCUCCACUGAAAGGCUUUACUCAGAAAAUAGAAUAUGAGAGUGUUCCAAAGUAUUAUAAACAUUGUAGAAAGAUUGGCCACAACAUGAUAAAUUGCAGAGAUCUAGAAAGGAAAAAGGGCCAGUGAAACAAAAGAGGCUGAGACAAGUCAUAAAGAAACAAACUUUAUUCAAGCAGGAGAAGAAAGCAGUAAGGAAAAUCAGCAAAAUAGCAAUGAGGUUAGCAAAGUUAUUGAUAACAACGGAGGGACCAAGGAUGUACAACACAAGAAGGAGAACAUGAACAAAAGAGCUAUGACCACUGGAAAAAUUGAGCAGAUCAUGUUAACAAGAGUCAAAGACAAGAAGAAAAAAAAUCAGAAAAAGAAGAAGAUGCCAAGAAAGAAAAGUAAGAUUAGCUUCAAGCCUUCUCGUAAUCUCAUUAAGAGAAAAGGAAAAAUGGUUACUGCUACUACACAAGUUCAGCAAAUUUUGCUUGAAGAAAGCUGCCAAGAUGAGAGCAAAGAAAAAAAAUGGAAAGGAAACGAUGGUUGUUGAACAUGUGUUGGAAGCAGAAGCUAGUUCGACAAAAGAUAUAAAUGAAGUACAGCAACACAAUCAGCAAAAUAAGGAUAGUAGGGAGAAAAUUGAGAAUAUAAUUCAAUCAUCUAUAAAUAAGGAGGAAACCGCGAACAAUGAAGAAUAUUCAAAGGACAAUAGAGGCAGAAGCAGACAAAAAAAUAGAGAAAGGAAGAAUAAAGCAAGAACCUCAUCAUCCUGCAAAGUGGGAGAACAAAAAAAGAUUACUACCACCCCAAUAUGCCAUGAUUAGGACAAUAUUUUGAAAUAUUAGGGGGUUAAAAUCCAAGAAGGCAAUUCAUAGACUUAAAAAUCUUGCCAACAUUAACAAAGUGAUGUUCAUUGCUAUCUUUGAACCUUUUGUGAAUAUGCGUAAGAUUGACGGAUACAGGAGAUUUCUAGGUUUCACCCAUUGCUUGGCCAAUUCCAAUGGGAAGAUCUGGUGCUUCUGGAAAUACAUAGAUCAUAAAGCUAUUUUGAUCAAUGAUGAAUAACAAAUUACUCUCCAUUUCAAGGACAACUUGAACAUUGAUAACUAUGUUAUUGUUGUGUAUGCUAAAUAUACUUCAAUGGAAAGAAGAGACUUAUGGGAUAGUAUUGAAAGUAUGAGCAAUCAGAUCAAUGGUCCAUGGUGCAUUGGGGGAGACUUCAAUUCCACAAUGGACCCUAAUGAGAAGUUAGGGGGUAGACCACAUAGAGCACAUAGGUGCUUUGAUUUCAUUAGUACCAUGGAAGCUUGUGCCCUUUCUGAUCAAGGAUUUGUAGGUUCCAAAUUUACUUGGUGCAACAACAGAAGACCUAGUAAAAGGAUUUGGAAGAGACUUGACAGGGUUUUUGUGAAUGAUCAAUGGGCCCAAAGGUUUCAAAGCUACAUUGGAAAGCACCUGGUCAGAACAGAACAAACAGAUUUCUUGGAGAUUGUUCAAGAUUCUUGGAACAUGAAUGUCGUUGGCAAUGUAAUAUGGAGACUUCAAUGUAAACUCAAAACUCUGAGCAAAAUUCUUAGCCAAAAGGGAUAAGAACCAUGUUCUAGCUCAGGUAUGACACAAAAGUCUUCCCUUAAAGAUAUAUUUUCUAACUUGGAGAUUAUUUUUGCGCAGGUUACAUUUUGAUAAAAUAAUUAACAACUUUGGCAAUCAGUUAUUCUCUAUGUGCUUCUGCUGCUCAAAUCCUAUGUGCGAGUCAAUCCAACAUGUCUUCAUUGAAGGACAGGCUACCGACCACAUAUGAAAUUUCUUUGGUGCAUCACUCGGCAUUAGGCAUCACCACUUGUCUCCAAAUAUGGUAUUGAAAAAUUUGAGGGAUACAAGGCCUAAAAAUGCGAUUCACAAACUACUCCUUCAAAUUAUUCCAAUUUGUAUUUUCUGGGAAAUUUGGAGAAGUUGGGCAGCUUGUAAAUAUGGGGAAUAAAAAAAAUUUGUUACUACAAGAAUGGAGGUGCAAAUACAAUGGACCAUCAAUGUAGCUCUUUCUAUUGCCUUCCCAAAAUUAAAACCACUGGCACUUGGGCUCAACAAUGCAGAACCAUUGAACAACUCAAACCAGUGGUAGUAUGGAGACAGGUAUCUUGGCAAAAGCCUGCGGCAGGAAGGUUUAAGGUUAACACAUAUGGAAGUUUUCUAGGCAACAAUUCAAGAGCAGACAUCGGAGGAGUUAUCAGAAAUGAACUAAGUGAUUUGGUUAUGGCAUUUUCAAUUCCUAUCCAAUGCAAUAUCAAUAACCAAGCAGAGGCACAAGCAGCCAAAUAUGGGGUGGACUAGUGUUUUCAAAGUGGAAUACAUGCUUUUGAUUUGGAAUCACUAAUUGUGACGAAUAUGCUGAAAAAUGAAAACACCAACAAUCUCAAGCUUAGAAAGAAAAUCAAAGACAUCACCUCGACAGUCAGUAGGGCAGAGGUACACUUCACCCAUUGCUUUAGAGAAGCAAAUUAAGUGGCGGAUUCUUUAGCUAAGUUAGCCUCGUCUGGUGGAAACAUUACCUUCUACUACUCUUUUCAACAACUUUCGAAAGAGGCGAAGGGACAUUUUCAACUUGACAAAUGGCAACUUCCUAGUAUUAGAAGAAGAUACGACAAAAGUAAUUUCUUUGUAAGUUGAAUUUAUAGUUAGAUAUGGAAGAGUAGUAUAGGCUCUCUCUUCCAAUUGCUUUGAAGACUACAUCAGUCAGGUUCUUUUGAAGGUUAA